CCUACGGGAGGCAGCAGUAGGGAAUAUUGGGCAAUGGAGGCAACUCUGACCCAGCCAUGCCGCGUGCAGGAUGAAGGCGUUAUGCGUUGUAAACUGCUUUUAUAUAGGAAGAAAGAGUUCUUGCGAGAACAGUUGACGGUACUAUAUGAAUAAGCACCGGCUAACUCCGUGCCAGCAGCCGCGGUAAUACGGAGGGUGCAAGCGUUGUCCGGAUUUAUUGGGUUUAAAGGGUGCGUAGGCGGUUUAUUAAGUCAGUGGUGAAAGACGGUCGCUCAACGAUUGCAGUGCCAUUGAUACUGGUAGACUUGAGUGAGAUUGAGGUAGCUGGAAUGGAUAGUGUAGCGGUGAAAUGCAUAGAUAUUAUCCAGAACACCAAUUGCGUAGGCAAGUUACUAAGUCUCAACUGACGCUGAGGCACGAAAGUGUGGGUAUCAAACAGGAUUAGAUACCCUGGUAGUCCACACUGUAAACGAUGAUAACUAACUGUUGGCUUUCGGGUCAGUGGUACAGAGAAAUCGUUAAGUUAUCCACCUGGGGAGUACGCCGGCAACGGUGAAACGUCAAAUGAAAUUGACGG
rnacentral:rRNA from 1 species